GCAAACUUGGUCAUUUAGAGGAAGUAAAAGUCGUAACAAGGUUUCCGUAGGUGAACCUGCGGAAGGAUCAUUACCGUAGGGGGCUCGCCCCCUUCGAGAUAGCACCCUUGAUUUUUGAGUACCUUUCUGUUUCCUCGGCGGGUUCGCCCGCCAACGGGGACCUCUCAAAACCCUUUUGUAAUAGCAGUAUCUUCUGAAAAACAAAAGCAAAAAAUCAAAACUUUCAACAACGGAUCUCUUGGUUCUGGCAUCGAUGAAGAACGCAGC
rnacentral:misc_RNA from 1 species